AGCAGUGGAUGACUACUGGUAGUUAUUUUAGACUAACCUAUCAGCAGUUAUACCACUGAUGU
rnacentral:pre_miRNA from 1 species